AACGCUGGCGGCGUGCCUAAUACAUGCAAGUCGAGCGAGCUUGCCUAGAUGAUUUUAGUGCUUGCACUAAAUGAAACUAGAUACAAGCGAGCGGCGGACGGGUGAGUAACACGUGGGUAACCUGCCCAAGAGACUGGGAUAACACCUGGAAACAGAUGCUAAUACCGGAUAACAACACUAGACGCAUGUCUAGAGUUUGAAAGAUGGUUCUGCUAUCACUCUUGGAUGGACCUGCGGUGCAUUAGCUAGUUGGUAAGGUAACGGCUUACCAAGGCAAUGAUGCAUAGCCGAGUUGAGAGACUGAUCGGCCACAUUGGGACUGAGACACGGCCCAAACUCCUACGGGAGGCAGCAGUAGGGAAUCUUCCACAAUGGACGAAAGUCUGAUGGAGCAACGCCGCGUGAGUGAAGAAGGGUUUCGGCUCGUAAAGCUCUGUUGGUAGUGAAGAAAGAUAGAGGUAGUAACUGGCCUUUAUUUGACGGUAAUUACUUAGAAAGUCACGGCUAACUACGUGCCAGCAGCCGCGGUAAUACGUAGGUGGCAAGCGUUGUCCGGAUUUAUUGGGCGUAAAGCGAGUGCAGGCGGUUCAAUAAGUCUGAUGUGAAAGCCUUCGGCUCAACCGGAGAAUUGCAUCAGAAACUGUUGAACUUGAGUGCAGAAGAGGAGAGUGGAACUCCAUGUGUAGCGGUGAAAUGCGUAGA
rnacentral:rRNA from 1 species